UACGUAGGGGGCAAGCGUUGUCCGGAAUUAUUGGUCGUAAAGAGCUCGUAGGCGGUCUGUCGCGUCUGCUGUGAAAACUCAGGGCUUAACCCUGAGCUUGCAGUGGGUACGGGCAGACUAGAGUGCGGUAGGGGAGACUGGAAUUCCUGGUGUAGCGGUGAAAUGCGCAGAUAUCAGGAGGAACACCGGUGGCGAAGGCGGGUCUCUGGGCCGUAACUGACGCUGAGGAGCGAAAGCAUGGGGAGCGAACAGG
rnacentral:rRNA from 1 species